rnacentral:rRNA from 1 species
GACGAACGCUGGCGGCGUGCCUAAUACAUGCAAGUUGAGCGAUGAAGAUUGGUGCUUGCACCAAUUUGAAGAGCAGCGCACGGGUGAGUAACGCGUGGGGAAUCUGCCUUUGAGCGGGGGACAACAUUUGGAAACGAAUGCUAAUACCGCAUAACAACUUUAAACAUAAGUUUUAAGUUUGAAAGAUGCAAUUGCAUCACUCAAAGAUGAUCCCGCGUUGUAUUAGCUAGUUGGUGAGGUAAAGGCUCACCAAGGCGAUGAUACAUAGCCGACCUGAGAGGGUGAUCGGCCACAUUGGGACUGAGACACGGCCCAAACUCCUACGGGAGGCAGCAGGAGGGAAUCUUCGGCAAUGGACGAAAGUCUGACCGAGCAACGCCGAGUGAGUGAAGAAGGUUUUCGGAUCGUAAAACUCUGUUGGUAGAGAAGAACGUUGGUGAGAGUGGAAAGCUCAUCAAGUGACGGUAACUACCCAGAAAGGGACGGCUAACUACGUG